rnacentral:lncRNA from 1 species
AUGAGUGAGGAUGGUAAUCUUCAUUCAGUUUUCCCACACUGGAAGUCUUCUGUGUGCCGCUGCUCCUAUAAUGAGGAAGGCAAAGGCAGAACAAGCCCACGGAAACCCCACCGGUUGGCCAAAGCGAGUCCAAGCCCCAUUUGCCAAGACAUUCUGCUGCACCCACUUCCCUGCUGGCAGCCAGAAGAAAAGCCCUGGAGGGACAGUUUUCCUUUGAGCUGGGUGGUAACAGGGUUAUCAGAAAAGCCCCACACCAAAGACUCUAAAUAUGACACUAGAAAUCCUCACAAUGGAGUCAAAACAAAACAGAAAGUGAUCCUGUUCUGGUAACCUUAGCUCUGCUCAGGUCACCCUCUUGCCUGGUUGGUUUUGUUGAUGCAAGCAUAAUCCAACACAGAUUGCAAAGGAUCUCCAGGCCCAGGGAUAGGGGAUUAUAUAACCAACCUGGGGUGGUGUCAGGCUUAUCAGAGGCUGAUAACUAACAAUUCACAGGUACUCAGCUUGGUGUAAAAUACCUGGAGGCAGAAUAAAAC